AGKMGCCRGGGAAUGGGUUCAGACUGGCAGGGAAUAGGGUGAGAUGGGAUAUUGGGCAGGAAUUGUUCCCUGGGAGGGUGRGCAGGCCCUGGCACAGKGUGYCCAGAGAAGCUGUGGCUGCCCCUGGAUCCCUUUGAGUGCCCAAGGCCAGGCUGGACAUUGGGGCUGGGAGCAGCCUGGGAAAGUGGAAGGUGUCCCUGCCCAUGGAAUGGGAUAGAAUGGGAUGAUCUUUAAGGUCCUUCCAAUCCAACCCAUUCCACACUCCUGAUGCCCUUCCCAGAGCCUUCAUGGGCAGCUCAGGGCUGUCCAUUCUCAGCUCCAGCCCUUGGGAAUUGUUGGCACAAUCCCAAACAAUUCCUGCACUGUUCAUGGCCAACCUUCUCCUUGUGGAACCCCACAGAGCUGCUGCUGCUUCCCYGGGUGGUUCCAGGAACAAAGCAAGGGUUGCAGCUUUGGGGUGUCUUCUGCAAGCUCAGUAGUUCUCAGUCCAUGCCCUGCAGAGCCCUGGAAUCCAGGAUGGGAGAUUUGGAGAGGCAAAUGUGGGAGAAGGUCCCAACUGGCUGCACUUGGUCCAAGAAUUCAUUGGGAAAAGUUCUGGAGUCUGCAAAUCCAAAUGGUGGGAGACCAGUGGGGUGGAUACUCCRAGAUCUUUGAGGCAUUCAGUUAUAGGAGCAAAAAUCCUAUGAAAUCCCAUAAAAUUGUGAGUCUGGGGGGUGAGUGUUGGGGGUGCCACUCAGCCUCCUUUGUGUUUCUUUGUGUUUGCCCAAAACAAUUCCCAACAAUUUCAGAGGAAGCAUCAUUUCCUAAUUCUCUCUCCACGGGUUUUUACUCUGUCUGGAACUUUUUGCUGCUGUGAUGUUUUUUUGUCUCCCUGUUUUUCCCGAAUCCAUUUCUGCCAUGAUAAAGCAUUGUUUUUAUGGGAUUUUGCCCAUUUGGGCCAAUCCAGCUGCCUGGAAUUGAUUUAUUCCAUGUGGGCCRCAUCCUUCAGGGGAGUUUCCAAAGCCUGAUCUCCUCAGAACUGUUUUUAGUGCUGCCACUUCCAGCUGAUAUCCAAGCUGAAACUCAAACCUCUCCCUUGGCUUUCUGUGCUUGUCCUUGGAAUUCCAGAGUUUCAUCUUUCCAGCAGAGCCCUCUCCUUUUUUGGCCAGGUGAAUAUUCCCAGAGAGGGACUGGAGUUGGUUUUGGAUCCUGUUCCUCUGUUCCCCACCGUGAUUGCCCAGGAUCCACAAUUCCUGCUCCUGGCAGCUGCRUUCCCAUCGCUGCUGCUCAGCUGGAAAACGGGAGGUGCUCAAAAGUAGAAACAUUUGCAGCCCCCAGGUUUGUUCCUUCUCCCCACCGUGGCUGUUUUCCAAGGGGGMAGGUGGCACCGUCCCAAAUUGGAUCCAAUUUUUGCCGUGCCAGCUCUGAGAGGAGAUUCCAGCCUGACUUCCAGCAGCUCUGACAAUUCCUGCUUGGCACACCCAGUUUCUCCAUUUUUCCGUGCAACAGCAUCAGGGAGCAGAGUCAGUGGUUUCAGAGGCCCUGAGAUUCAGGUUUCUGGGGUCCCUCAUUCCCUAGGCAAAUCCAGGUUUCUGAGGUGGUGAGACCACGUUUCAGAGGUGCCCCAUUCCAAGGGCAGAUCCAGGUUUUUCUGGGGUGCCCCAUUCCCUGGCAGAUCCAGGUUUCUGGGUCCCUCAUUCCCUGGGCAGAUCCAGGUUUCAGAGGCAGUGAGAUUCAGGUUUCUGAGGUUCCCCAUUCCAUGGGCAGAUCCAGGUUUCUGGGAUCCCUCAUUCCACAAGCAGAUCCAGGAUUCAGAGGUCAUUUUUGGGCAGAUCCAGKUUUCUGGGUCCCUCAUUCUUGGGCAGACUCAGGUGUCAGAGGUUCCCUCAUUCCAUGAUGAAAUCCAGGUUUCUGGGGUACCCCAUUCCCUGAGCAGAUCCAGGUUUAUGGGGUCCCUCAUUCUUGGGCAGAUCCAGGUUUCUGGGGUGCCCUAUUCCAUGAUGAGAUCCAGGUUUUUGGGUCCCUUAUUCCCUGGGCAGAUCCAGGUUUUUGGCAUCCAUCACCCACUCCAGGUUCUGGGCAGGGAUUUCACCUCCUGCAGCAGUGGCUGCUCCAAGGAGGUGCCAGGCUGGAAGGGGAAUUCCACAGGGAAGGGCAAACCRAGCUUCCAGACCCAAUUCCCUGCUGGGGAGUGACAGAACUCUGAAAUUCCCUUGGGAAUGAGCCCAUUCCUGCUCCCACCUCCUCCAGGUCCUGCAGUGGCGUGAGGCCUUCCCUCUGCCCUGGGGGUUUUACAUCCMUAAACAAAAAGRAAAAUCAAAUCCUGGCCGCUCAGGGGCUGGAUCUGGUGGCUUUGUCCCCUUCCCAGCCCCUUGGAGCUUCCCCUUCCCAGCCCCUUGGAGYUUCCCCUUCUGGCUUUUCUCUCUCACCCCAGGGAGAUCCCUCUGUGCUGGCACGAUUUCACAUCUGAUAAAAAGCUCCAGCUCCAAGAAAUCCCAAUCCUACAGAAUCCAGGCAAUGGAUGUUCAGUGUUUCCACCUGAAACCAUGACAGGGAUGAGGCAGGAGCCACGAGGGGAAGGUGACAAACUCGGCCUUGGCUGAGAAUUCCCAAUGCUGAACCCCAAAUUCCAUCAGUUUGCACAAAGUCUCUCCCUGGUUCAGCAGGAAACACCAGCUCCUGCAAUGACAGUUCUGAGGAGAUUAAAGCUCUUAAUUUAAUUGUGGUCUUAAUUUAUUUU